CGUGAAGACAUGUUCUAACUCAUGAGUAAUCAGAGAAAUGCAACUUGAAAUAAUGAGAUAUGAAGAUGGCGAAGAUGAGAAAGUGGAACGCCACCAGCUGGCAGAGGUGUGGGGGGAGCGGAGCCUGUGCAGCCAUGCUGAGAGCAGCACGGCCCCGCUGUGACCUGGCGCCAGCACAGAGGUCCUCACACAGGCGCACAGGGCGAGUGCAAGGAAGUGCUCUGCGCAGCUUCGUUUGCGGCAGUGCAGAGCUGGGGACAACUUGUGUGUCUGUCACUGGGAGCGUGGGUGGGUAAACCGUGGGGCUUGCAACCCACGGAGCACUAUGGCGUAGUCAGAAGCAACAGGUUCGAUGUACCCAUGGCAAUAAUGGACCUUAAAGGCAUCAAGUUGAAGGAGAAACAAAGUAAGAAACAAAUUCUCUGUGAAAAGUCAAUUCAAAAUACUGUCCCACAAGACAAAAGUCCUCAUUUGGAAAGACACAUAUAAACUAGGAAAUGGGACUUCCCUGGUGGCGCGGUGGUUAAGAAUCCGCCUGCCAAUGCAGGGGACACGGGUUCGAGCCCUGGUCCGGGAAGAUCCCACGUGCCACGGAGCAACUAAGCCCGUGCGCCACAACUACUGAGCCUGUGCUCUAGAACCCGUGAGCCACAACUACUGAGCCCACGUGCCACAACUCUAGAAGCCCGCGCGCCUAGAGCCCGUGCUCCGCAACAAGAGAAUCCACCCCAAUUAGAAGCCCGCGCACCGCAACAAAUAGCAGCCCCCGCUCGCCGCAACUAGAGAAAGCCUGCACACAGCAACAAAGGCCCAACACAGACAUAAAUAAAUCAGCAAACUAUGGCUCUCAGGUCAAAUCUGCCCUUUGUUUUUGUAAAUAACGUUUUAUUGGAACACAGUAACCCAUUUGUUUAAGCAUUGUCAGGGGAAGCUUAUCUGUACAAAUGAUGGUAACAUGCCAUACACUAAGGGCCUGAUUAACUUAACCCUCUGUGCCAGAGGUUAAAAAAACAAAGAAGGUGGUAAGAAGAUCUAGGCUUGAGUCCUCACUAGCUAAGAGAGCCCUGGGAAGUCACUUUUCCUGUUUGCUCCUCAGUUUUGACAACUGUAAAAAUGGGGCAAUAUUCAUCUUAGAGACAAUAUACCUGCAAGUGCCUUGUGAAUUAUAAAUGGCUCUUCAAAUGUGAAGGUUUCUUAUUAUCAGGGUAACAAGAAGGUGGGAAUGGUAUUGCAAACAUGUGUCCUCCUAUAAUCCAAUGUUGUCUUCUUCCCAGACUUCCUACUAACAGUGUCUUAUCCUUUCUCUUCCUUGCCCACUCUAUGGAGACGCUAACGAUAAGGAAGUAGCCAGAAGGCAAGGCAAAGAGAAGGGAGACUGCAGACCAACAGGAUCCACAAAUGGAAAGCAACCUGGGAAAAAAGUUAGAAAAGCUUAUCAAGGGGAGACGGGUUGGACCUGACCGUGGCCACUGUCCAUCAGGCCUCAGAAGAGAGCCGACUUAUGAGAUGGCAAAGCUUAAAGUAACUUCCUCAGUCAACUCAGGAUUUGAAUCCAAGACUGCCUGACCAAGAAGAGCCCAUUUUAACCCAAGUCUCACUUCUACACUGGCCUGAAGUGAGCAAGUCACACGGCCAUACCGGACUUCAAGGGGGAUGAAAAAAACCACCACCUGCCUGGAACCAGAAAUAUUUGGAGAAUCACACUGAUGACUACCACGGUGAUCUUACAGUUUACAAAGCAUUUGUCACAAUGAUUGCCCAAUUCUCACAAUAUCCGAAGUAGCAAUUAAUUAAUUAUAUGUGAUAAUUCAAUUAUAAGGAGUCAGCAAACACCAACAGAGAAAACCCAAAGUCAACAGUUUGGGCAACUCUGCCCACUAUUCUGAGUGAAAGUGCCUCCAGCUUAUAAAACGUUGAACUUGCUGUUUCCUCAAGACGUGUCUGCCUCUUGAAGUAUGUCUUCGGUAAUGAGUGGGAUUCUCAUUUUGAUUGAUAUUCUCUAGUAAAUGGCCUCUGAAUGAAGGCCAACUAUAUCAAUUCUCAGCUUAAAAACUGUGAUCUUUCAAUACUGAAGGAAAAACUGGCCAUUUUUUUUUUCUUGAAAUAG